UACGUAGGGGGCAAGCGUUGUCCGGAUUUAUUGGGCGUAAAGAGCGUGUAGGCGGCCAUACAGGUCAGCUGUGAAAACUCGAGGCUCAACCUCGAGACGUCGGUUGAAACCGUAUGGCUAGAGGACGGUAGAGGCGUGUGGAAUUCCGGGUGUAGUGGUGAAAUGCGUAGAGAUCCGGAGGAACACCAGUGGCGAAGGCGACACGCUGGGCCGUACCUGACACUGAACCGCGACAGCAUGGGGAGCAAACAGG
rnacentral:rRNA from 1 species